rnacentral:rRNA from 1 species
GAUGAACGCUGGCGGCGUGCUUAACACAUGCAAGUCGAACGGAAAGGCCCUGCUUUUGUGGGGUGCCCGAGUGGCGAACGGGUGAGUAUCACGUGAGUAACCUGCCCUUGACUUUGGGAUAACUUCAGGAAACUGGGGCUAAUAUCGGAUAGGAUCUCCUGCACCAUGGUGGGGGUUGGAACGUCUCGGCGGUUGGGGAUGGACUCGCGGGUUAUCAGCUUGUUGGUGGGGUAGUGGCUUACCCAGGCUUUGACGGGUCGGCGGCAUGAGAGGGUGGCCGGGCACAUGAGGACUAAGGUACGGCGCAGACGCGUACAGGAGGCAACAGUGGGGAGUAUGGCACAGUGAGCGGAAGCCUGUGACAACAGCGCCGGGGUCGGAAUGACCGCCUUCGGGGUAUGAACCGCUUUCGCCUGAGACGAAGCGGGAGUGACGGUAAUGAAUAAAUAAGCACCGGCUAACUACGUG